CUUUUAGAUUGUUGCUAUGCAGUUACUAGGGUGUUGUUGUAGUUUUUGGAAUGUUGCUAUGCAGUUGCUAUGGUGUUCGGAAUACGUUUUAGAAUGUUUCUAUGCAGUUGCUAGGGUGCUCUGAGCACCUUUUAGAAUGUUGCUAUGCGGUUACUAGGGUGUUGUUGUAGUUUUUGGAAUGUUGCUAUGCAGUUGCCAUGGUGUUCGGAAUACUUUUUUGAAUGUUACUAUGCAGUUGCUUUGGUGUUCUGAAUAUGUUUUAGAAUGUUUCUAUGCAGUUGCUAGGGUGAACACCUUUUAGAAUGUUGCUAUGCUAUUACUAGGGUGUUGUUGUGGUUUUUGGAAUGUUGCUAUGCAGUUGCCAUGGUGUUCGGAAUACUUUUUUGAAUGUUGCUAUGCAGUUGCUUUGGUGUUCUGAAUAUGUUUUAGAAUAUUUCUAUGCUGUUGCUAGGGUGCUCUGAACACCUUUUAGAAUGUUGCUAUGCAGUUACUAGGGUGUUGAAAUGUUGCUAUGCAGUUGCUAGGGUGUUCAGAAUACUUUUUAGAAUGUUUCUAUGCUGUUGCUAUGGUGUUCUGAAAGGGUUUUAAUGAUGUUGCCAUGCAGUUGCUUGGUUGUUCUGAGUGAUUUUAACAUAUUGGUUUGAGGUUGCUAGGCUGUGCUUGAGUGGUUUACAGCACAUUGCUAUGCAAUUCCUAAGGUGUUCAAAAUAGUUUUAGGAUGUUGCUAUGGGGUUGUUAGGGUGUUCUAAGUGGUUUAGUACAAGUUUCUGUGCAGUUGGUAGGAUGUUCAGAGUGAUUUUUAACAUGUUGCUAUGUAGUUGCGAUGGAAUUCUGAGACAUUUAGUGCGUUGCUAUGAAGUUGCUAGGAUGUUCUGAAUAGUUUUAACAUGUUGCUACUGUAUGUGCUUCCAUUCUUUUUACACUGUUGCUAUGUUGUUACUAGGUUUUUCUGAGUGGUUUACUAUUAGUUGCUAGGGUGUCAAAAACUACUACAAUUCGAUUGAUCUGUCACAUAGCAUCUAUAUAGGAGUUUCCAUAUGGCAGGUCUUGUGGUCUUCAACCGUUCUCAGUCUGCAACAUCGACAGCUACUUUUUGAAAACAUUUGUGCCACUCAGAAACAAUUAUAGGUCAUAAAUGCAUCAGUGAGAAGGAGCUGUAGGGAUGAAAGCAGAAAGCCUCUUAUUUUAGUUUCACAGCAAUGUCAGAGGCCUUUUUUAAUGCGCUCAUGCGCUCAGAGACUGACCAGAUUUCAUGACGUGGCCUCCUUAAGAUGUUUGAUAUUGUUUUGUUCCCUCCGCCACCGUGUAGUCAGUGUGUUUGCGGUCCAGACCAGAGCUGUGCGCUUUAUAAUUGGUUUAACUUGAACAAGACCAGCUGUGCAAUAAAGCAGCAAAGCCGUGUGAAGAAACCGUUCGUAAAUCCUUCGGGGUCACAAUCCAGCGCAUGGAGAAAAAGAUUUGACAUCUGUGCUGAUUAUGAACUGUCCCCCAAUCAGCAUGCAGUAUGUGCUACUAUCCUCCAGUCAACAAGCAGAACCCCUCACUCCCUUCCAAUCAGCAUGCAGCAUGUUCUCCUGUCCUCCAAUCAGCAUGCACACCCUGUUUAUUGCAUUUGCAGAAGUUUUCUCAGGCAGCAACUGGGUUGAUUUUAUCCUUGAGUAUCUCAUGAGCAAGUUUAAUCAUGAAGCAACUGAAUAACGAUAAACACAUGCUUAAUUUCUUGUUUGGCAGACUCUUGUUCUAAAGGGAAGAAUCAUAGUUAUGUUGCCCAGAGCCAAAUGUCACAAUGAAAUUAUAUGCAAAUCACAAUAAUAGGCCAGUUAUCAAAUAUGUUGUAUCUGAUUUAUGGAGACGUUCUUUCCCCACACAAACAUAAAACAACAUGUUUCUCUUAAUUAAAUGAAGUACUAGACAA